UGAGUUAGUGGCGGACGGGUGAGUAACGCGUGGAGAACCUGCCGUAUACUGGGGGAUAACACUUAGAAAUAGGUGCUAAUACCGCAUAAGCGCACAGCUUCGCAUGAAACAGUGUGAAAAACUCCGGUGGUAUACGAUGGAUCCGCGUCUGAUUAGCUGGUUGGCGGGGUAACGGCCCACCGGGGCGACGAUCAGUAGGGGUUCUGAGAGGAAGGUCCCCCACAUUGGAACUGAGACACGGUCCAAACUCCUACGGAAGGCAGCAG
rnacentral:rRNA from 1 species